rnacentral:misc_RNA from 1 species
GAUGAAGAACGUAGCGAAAUGCGAUAAGUAAUGUGAAUUGCAGAAUUCAGUGAAUCAUCGAAUCUUUGAACGCACAUUGCGCCCGCCAGUAUUCUGGCGGGCAUGCCUGUUCGAGCGUCAUUUCAACCCUCAGGCCCCCAGUGCCUGGCGUUGGGGGUCGGCGUGGGCGGCGAACGGCUCUCCGGAGCCCGAGCCAAUGCCUGCCGGCCCCGAAAUUCAGUGGCGGUCUCGCUGUAGUCCCCCUCUGCGUAGUAGCACAACUCGCAUUGGAGCUCGGCGGUGGCCAUGCCGUAAAACACCCCACUUCUGAAAGUUGACCUCGGAUCAGGUAGGAAUACCCGCUGAACUUAAGCAUAUCAAUAAGCGGAGGA